CGUUUCCAGCGCAGGGCGGCCCGGCCGCCGCCGGCAGGGAGGCGAGGCUUCCCGCGGGAAUACUGCCUAAGGCUUGCAAGGGAAUAAAUUGAUGCUUGGGAAUAGCGUCCUGCGGAGGGACGGGAGGCGGCGGAGCGCUGCAGGGCGCUCGGCGGCAGGGUGGGCCAGAAGAUUUCUUUGGAGCUCAUGUAAGUGACACUCCAAGGAUUGGCCAGCAGCAGGUUCAGCGGCCCCAGCCCCCGGAGCCAAGGAUGUCAUCCCUGUGACAUGCCUGGAAACCCCAGCUCAUCCCUCAACUGUCCGGUUACAGCAGCAUCUCCAUCAUGUUGCACUUCAAGCCUGUCACUGGCAUGGGUUCACGCUCCUCACCCGGGAACCCUUCCCUGCUUUUUGCUGAGGACUGUGGUUUUAUUUUUAACACAGAGUCCUUCACAUCGGUGGUGGCCCCUACUUCGGAUCAACUCAUUAUCCCGAAUAAACGAUGUGUCAUUCCCAUUAUUUAUGUUUCACUGCAGCCAAAGUAUCUGGACCUCGUUUUGGUAAGC